UGAACCGGACCACAUGCGGACAGACGCCAUUUUACCUCUGUGCGAAGUGUGGUGUUCUAAGCAAAUUACUUUCUUUCGACUUACAAAACAGAAGUAUGGUUUGGGAAUUAUCACCUUGUUUCUGUCACUCGGAGAUCCCCAAGGGAGGAGUGGAUAUGGACAUUUUUAUGAUGGCCAAAAAAACACUGGAUUCUUGUCGUGGCGCCUCAAGACCGUACAAAGGGGGACAAAACCUGCAGAUAAGGAUGAUCCAAAAACAGGAAAAGGGAGGCCCUCUGCUUGACAGACAGCUGUGCUACUAUGAAGAUCAGCUGGAUAAUGACCAAAGUCUAGAGGCCAUCUCUUUGAUGAAUCAUACAAGUGAAAGUGAGGUCAUCAUGCAGAAGAUGAGGGCAACGCUUGAAUACAGACAGCGCCUUGUCCAUGAUCCAGAGAGGUCCACCACUGUUCUUUCAGUUUUUCCUUGAUUUCUGGAUACUAAAGGAUUGAUUCUUCAAGACUUCACGCUCCUCUUUGGGUCUGAAACUGCUUCCAGACUUUUGGAAAGGUGGCCAACAGCUUUCAAAGCAAUCAUCUUCCAAUCUGAACAGAGAAGGCAGUGAAGCCCAGGAUUCUCCAGAAUGGGACAGUGACAUAUCUUCCUUCCUUCCUUCCUUCUACUCCUGCAUCUUUUAUGACCCCAGGCUUCAGGAAGAAAGAAAACCCAAAAGAUCAGUAUCUCUCAGGCUGUUGACCAAGAUGGCGC